rnacentral:rRNA from 1 species
CACGUAGUUAGCCGGGGCUUCUUAGUCAGGUACCGUCAUUUUCUUCCCUGCUGAUAGAGCUUUACGUACCGAGAUACUUCUUCACUCACGCGGCGUCGCUGCAUCAGGGUUUCCCCCAUUGUGCAAUAUUCCCCACUACUGCCUCCCGUAGGAGUUUGGGCCGUGUCUCAGUCCCAAUGUGGCCGUCCACCCUCUCAGGCCGGCUACUGAUCGCUGCCUUGGUGGGCCGUUACCCCGCCAACUAGCUAAUCAGACGCGGAUCCAUCGUAUACCACCGGAGUUUUUCACACUGCCCCAUGCGGAGCCGUGCGCUUAUGCGGUAUUAGCACCUAUUUCCAAGUGUUAUCCCCCGGUAUACGGCAGGUUAUCCACGCGUUACUCACCCGUCCGCCACUAACUCAUAAAUCACUAGGUUUCAAUAUGAGUCCGUUCGACUUGCAUGUGUUAAGCACGCCGCCAGCGUUCAUCCUGAGCCAGGAUCAAACUCU